GAUGGCGCCGGAUCCACAUCCACAGCCACGGCCCCGGCACCCAUGGAGUGACCGUGUGCUUCUUCUCCAUGGACAUGGAGCUCCCACAACACACCAUGGAAGGCCUGGAGCUCCUUCUCACGGCAGGUGCACCGCGUAUAGGAGGGAAGACCAACGCUCCUCCAGGUCUGCUUCUUCCCGGGUCGCCGUUGCUCCACGGAAGGAGAAGCUCAGGCUGCCACCACACAAAGGGAGAGGAACCCAAGAUGAAUCUAUCCCGCCAUACUGUCCAUGACCCGACGACAGAGACAGCUACUUUGAGCCUUGAAUUGGAGCCUUUGAAGGAUCUGAAUGGAGCAUAUGUAUGCAUGCUACGGUUCAUCAUAGCAGAAGUCAAACUUCCUCCUUCUCAGCUCAUUGCUGGUGGUUCAGGCACGGGCCGUUGAUGCAGAUCGAUCAAGUGUCCUCCUCUUUAAUUAUUUGGAUUGGUGGUGCAUAGAUCUGGUGGUGCACUGGUGAGCCAUGACUAUUGGUGCUCAGUUUGCGCAGAAUGUAAUUGAUGUUUCCCGGACCUACAAAUAAUCAACACUGCAUUUCCCCGUGCGUUUGGUAAAAUGCAAAUGAGAACUAGACAGGUGCCUCAUGUGCCUUUUUGUUCGGUUGGACAGCCUGCUCCCAAGGUUUACGAGCCGACUAAUUUCAUCCGGAUAUAUACUAGCUAUUUGCUGGGAGGUGGUAUGAUCUUCAUUGUACUAAAAUCAUUCUUAUAUGGACUACCAAAUAUUAGUGGCUUGGGCACUUUCGAGGACUGCUGCUUGGAUUCUUCAUGUGAUUUGAAUAUUUAUACAUGCCCCUUUGUGUACAAGUUUGUUGAUAAGUUGGUGAUAGCUUGUUUCCAAGCGGUUUAGUUAGUCAAGUAUCAGACUAUAAAUUAUUCAUACGUUUUCUUCCGUGAACACAAGAAUGAUACAUUCAAAAUCUGUUCAAGAAAAAAAAAGAUAUUUUCAAUACUAUUUCUAUUUUUGAGAAUGAUGUCGGGAUAAUGAAGCUAUGUUUGCAAAGCAUUUUCUUCAGUAGGUUUCUUUACUUGCUUACUAAACCUUCCAUUUUAUACCAUACUGUGGCCAUAAAGCAACAUAUCGUCUUAUGGGGGUUCACAAAAAGGUUCCCAGUUCUUAGAAUUAGAAUUAUAUCGAUCAGAUAAAUUAUUUUAUUCAUCGCCUGCAAGCCAACCAUCUCUAUUUAAAACUGAACCUUUUAUUAGUUCACCAUUUUUCUUCUCGCUAUGAUGCUGACUUAGACUGCUGCCACUUGGUGCUUAGCAGGAGAGGCACAACCCCUGCCACACCGAAGAGAAAGACGAUGGCUUCCAUGAAGAAAUUCGUCAAAGUGACUCCAAUGACCCACAGGACUCCAGCAGCAACGACAUUAUCAAAGGGUCAAGGAGCAGCAAUUUGAUAUGCAUCCGUGACAAUGAAGUUUUCUCCACGGCGCGGAAUUGAUGCUGGCGACCCCGCCGUUUCCACACCACCCCGAGGAGAAGCACAACAGGAAGGGAUAUAGCGCGACAAAUCCUAUUUUACUGUCCCCGUUUCCCGGUUUCCACAUCGCGGCGACUCGAUCCGCUGCUCUCGGGCACGGCGCUCUUGAAUGAGUCAGAUUUAUCGAGGGACAAGACUGGCAAGCGCUCCUCCGUGUCGAUCUUCGACCGAGGUAGAGCGCUGGUAGCAACCACAUCAUGAAAGGGUUGACGAACGACGAUCCGAUAUGCGUCGCUCACAGCGAAGGUUUGCAUAUACAGAGAUGAUGAUAUGCCAUAUAUCUCACAAGUUGUUUGCAUUAGGACUGUGCAAAGUGGCGCCUAUGAAAUUUAUCGACCAGGAAGUUGAAUGAAGUCACCUAUUAGUAUGCUUAGUAGCUAUGGCUCGGUACCUCUCCUUUAUAUCUUCAUGUUCUCAUUACUUCCUCUCCUAUUAUCGUGCUUUUGGUAUCGAACUUCAUGUCGAGUGGCUGCACUUUUGGUUUUGAUCUUAAUGCCGAAUGGCUAUGUUUUGUGAUCUUACAAACGCACUAAAAUCGAUUAUGCCUUAAUAGUCUCGUGUUGAUAUUGAGCAAUGCUAUGUCUCACCCCUAUCUCAAUUGAAUGUUUUUUCUUUAUUU